rnacentral:rRNA from 1 species
GGAUUAGAUACCCUGGUAGUCCAUGCCGUAAACGAUGGAUACCAGCUGUUUGAUCUCUCGACAGAUCAAGUGGUGCAGCUAACGCGAUGAGUAUCCCGCCUGGGGAGUACGGUCGCAAGACUAAAACUCAAAGGAAUUGACGGGGGCCCGCACAAGCGGUGGAGCAUGUGGUUUAAUUCGACGCAACGCGAAGAACCUUACCAGGGUUUGACAUCUUCUGACCGCCAUAGAGAUAUGGUUUUCUCUUCGGAGACGGAAUGACAGGUGCUGCAUGGCUGUCGUCAGCUCGUGUCG